rnacentral:rRNA from 1 species
GUGGGGAAUAUUGGACAAUGGGGGGAACCCUGAUCCAGCCAUGCCGCGUGUGUGAAGAAGGCCUUUUGGUUGUAAAGCACUUUAAGCGAGGAGGAGGCUACCGAGAUUAAUACUCUUGGAUAGUGGACGUUACUCGCAGAAUAAGCACCGGCUAACUCUGUGCCAGCAGCCGCGGUAAUACAGAGGGUGCAAGCGUUAAUCGGAUUUACUGGGCGUAAAGCGCGCGUAGGUGGCCAAUUAAGUCAAAUGUGAAAUCCCCGAGCUUAACUUGGGAAUUGCAUUCGAUACUGGUUGGCUAGAGUAUGGGAGAGGAUGGUAGAAUUCCAGGUGUAGCGGUGAAAUGCGUAGAGAUCUGGAGGAAUACCGAUGGCGAAGGCAGCCAUCUGGCCUAAUACUGACACUGGGGUGCGAAAGCAUGGGGAGCAAACAGGAUUAGAUACCCCAGUAGUCC